rnacentral:rRNA from 1 species
CGCGUAGGCGGCCCUUCUGGUCGCGUGUGAAAGCCCCGGGCUCAACCUGGGAAUUGCGCGCGAAACGGGGGGGCUGGGGUUCGGGAGAGGAGCGUGGAAUUCCCAGUGUAGAGGUGAAAUUCGUAGAUAUUGGGAAGAACACCGGUGGCGAAGGCGGCGCUCUGGACCGAGACUGACGCUGAGGCGCGAAAGCGUGGGGAGCAAACAGGAUUAGAUACCCUGGUAGUCCACGCUGUAAACGAUGUGUGCUAGACGUUGGGGAGCCUAGCUCUUCGGUGUCGCCGCAAACGCUUUAAGCACACCGCCUGGGGAGUACGGCCGCAAGGUUAAA